UCUUUGCUAUAAGGCCUUCUAUGUUUGAACUAUGCUAUGUUGAAAUAUAAGUACUUUGGAUUUUAUCCUAUUCGGAUUGAUUAAUUUGAUUAGUUGUUUGAUUAAAUGAAUCUGAUUGGAUAAUCCUGGUGUAUGAAUGCAAUAUGAUUUUUUCAAUGUUAUAUAUAUCAUUGCAUAUGCAUACCUACUUGAUAUCUCACAUGCCC
rnacentral:lncRNA from 1 species